rnacentral:rRNA from 1 species
UACGUAGGGUGCAAGCGUUAAUCGGAAUUACUGGGCGUAAAGCAUGCGCAGGCGGUUAUGCAAGACAGAUGUGAAAUCCCCGGGCUCAACCUGGGAACUGCAUUUGUGACUGCAUGGCUGGAGUGCGGCAGAGGGGGAUGGAAUUCCGCGUGUAGCAGUGAAAUGCGUAGAUAUGCGGAGGAACACCGAUGGCGAAGGCAAUCCCCUGGGCCUGCACUGACGCUCAUGCACGAAAGCGUGGGGAGCAAACAGG